AGAGCUGAAAGGAGAGAGUUCACACAAGGCCAAAGCUCUACAACAUCGAGUCCUCACAGCUUUCUGAGGGAAGCUUUCAAGCUCAAAUUUAGGGCCUGUCUGAAUAUUAUGCUACAGUUACUGCGAUGAAAUUCACAUUUCACUGUUCAUACAACAAAACAGUCUAUACAAGUACUUUAUUCUUGUCUCAGAGCCUCAGAGGUAUUACUAUGUGUUUCUCUAUGCAUGUUUGACUCCAUUUAUUUUACCUCUUAUUUGAUUUCCUUUAAUUUGAUUAAUGUCGUUGUAAAUCUUUGUAGCGUUUGUCAUCUGCUCCUGGCGUCGAUCUCCCAGAAGGCAGAUGAAAGUGAAAGACGGAAAUUGCCAAAAUUGAAUUCGCUAUUUACAUGAUGCAAAGGGCGCAGUGUCUUGAUAACCCUGUCUUCAACCCCUCCCUAGGUCAUCAUCCUGCAGAUAUGGAUUAAGAUAAAUCUUAUAAAAAAGGCUAUGAUCGGCCAAAGUCGACUUUGGCCGAUUGGCUAGUGUCGGGUCGGGAAAUAGUCUGGAAAGAGCUUCAAGCUAAAGUUCCUGCAAGUAUAGAACUAGUGUUGUUAUGAGCUUAAAAAUGCUUACGGAUUCAAAUAUACAUUUAAGGAUAUCCAGAUUAAUGCUAAAGUUCUUCUAUCUUAUAUAUAUCUACCGGGAAGGGACGUCUUUCGCAAAUUUGAUUAGUUGUACUUGGCUCCUCCGAUCAAAUUUGUUUGGUCUUGCCGGAGACUGAUGAGCAGGUUAAUUUGGGUGCGAAUGACUA
rnacentral:lncRNA from 1 species